rnacentral:rRNA from 1 species
GAUGAACGCUGGCGGCGUGCCUAAUACAUGCAAGUCGAGCGAACGGACGAGAAGCUUGCUUCUCUGAUGUUAGCGGCGGACGGGUGAGUAACACGUGGAUAACCUACCUAUAAGACUGGGAUAACUUCGGGAAACCGGAGCUAAUACCGGAUAAUAUUUUGAACCGCAUGGUUCAAAAGUGAAAGACGGUCUUGCUGUCACUUAUAGAUGGAUCCGCGCUGCAUUAGCUAGUUGGUAAGGUAACGGCUUACCAAGGCAACGAUGCAUAGCCGACCUGAGAGGGUGAUCGGCCACACUGGAACUGAGACACGGUCCAGACUCCUACGGGAGGCAGCAGUAGGGAAUCUUCCGCAAUGGGCGAAAGCCUGACGGAGCAACGCCGCGUGAGUGAUGAAGGUCUUCGGAUCGUAAAACUCUGUUAUUAGGGAAGAACAUAUGUGUAAGUAACUGUGCACAUCUUGACGGUACCUAAUCAGAAAGCCACGGCUAACUACGUGCCAGCAGCCGCGGUAAUACGUAGGUGGCAAGCGUUAUCCGGAAUUAUUGGGCGUAAAGCGCGCGUAGGCGGUUUUUUAAGUCUGAUGUGAAAGCCCACGGCUCAACCGUGGAGGGUCAUUGGAAACUGGAAAACUUGAGUGCGGAAGAGGAAAGUGGAAUUCCAUGUGUAGCGGUGAAAUGCGCAGAGAUAUGGAGGAACACCAGUGGCGAAGGCGACUUUCUGGUCUGUAACUGACGCUGAUGUGCGAAAGCGUGGGGAUCAAACAGGAUUAGAUACCCUGGUAGUCCACGCCGUAAACGAUGAGUGCUAAGUGUUAGGGGGUUUCCGCCCCUUAGUGCUGCAGCUAACGCAUUAAGCACUCCGCCUGGGGAGUACGACCGCAAGGUUGAAACUCAAAGGAAUUGACGGGGACCCGCACAAGCGGUGGAGCAUGUGGUUUAAUUCGAAGCAACGCGAAGAACCUUACCAAAUCUUGACAUCCUUUGACAACUCUAGAGAUAGAGCUUUCCCCUUCGGGGGACAAAGUGACAGGUGGUGCAUGGUUGUCGUCAGCUCGUGUCGUGAGAUGUUGGGUUAAGUCCCCCAACGAGCGCAACCCUUAAGCUUAGUUGCCAUCAUUAAGUUGGGCACUCUAAGUUGACUGCCGGUGACAAACCGGAGGAAGGUGGGGAUGACGUCAAAUCAUCAUGCCCCUUAUGAUUUGGGCUACACACGUGCUACAAUGGACAAUACAAAGGGCAGCGAAACCGUGAGGUCAAGCAAAUCCCAUAAAGUUGUUCUCAGUUCGGAUUGUAGUCUGCAACUCGACUACAUGAAGCUGGAAUCGCAAGUAAUCGUAGAUCAGCAUGCUACGGUGAAUACGUUCCCGGGUCU